rnacentral:lncRNA from 1 species
CCCGCCUCCCGCACGGCCGCGCUCGCACACACGGAACCUCAAAAUGGCAUCCCGGCACGGCCUCCCCGGGAGCCGCGCCGCGCCAGCCUCUCCUCAAAUAGGCAGGAAAAGCCUUUCCUCGGGCUCCGGCGUUUCCGCCACCUGCCCGGCCGCGUCCCCUCUCUGCGGCAGCCGAGGGGAACCAGUGCCCCGCUCCGGGAAGCGUCGCUGCCCUGCCAGGCAGGCCUCCCUCCUUCGGGCCACCUCUGCCCUGGCUCCACACUCACCCGAGGUGCGCUACCCUCAGACACGAACCCGUCUUACUCAGAAACAAGGAACUGGUCGUGUUUUGGUCUCAAGACCUAUUAUUGGGAUAUUUCACACAACUACAUAUAAAGAAAAUUAAGCCAGUGCUAAAACUACAAAGUAAACCUAAAGGUUUCAACAAGGGUUAAGCCCACUGUGCUAAAAAUAACAAGAGGUAAACAUAUUUUACCAAGGAUUCUGUUUUCCAAAAGAGUGGACAGAAAACGCCACUGUGAUGUUUUACAAGGACAUUCACAAAUACCUUCAAGUACUUCAGCACAAGUUUCAUGCCAGCAAAGAUUAGAAGCAGUCACUGUGGGAGGGAGAGGGAACCAAGGAGAAAAACCAAAACAAAACCAACCAAAAAUCCAAACUCACACCGCCAUUGCAAAUUAAUUUUAACAAAUGGAAAGCAGUGUCAGGAAAUAUACCUGCUUGUAACAGUUUCAGUAUUUCCACAGUCACAAUCUUUGAAAACUACAGACCACAUAUCACAGAAACACACAUACAGGGUGAAAGGGUGGUGAAGGGGACACAAAGAUUAUAGAAAGUACUGUUGGAAAGCACUUUGGAAGUGGAAAACAUCCUUUAAUGUCUUUUUGUACUUCUCUAGGGUGCAUGAGUAACACAGAGCCUGACAAGUGUGUCAUUCUAAACAAAAUGUCCUUUUGAGCACACUUUCCUAUGAGAAAUGUGACUGUGAAUAUUACUAGCUGUUCUAGCAAGUGCCACUUUAUUCACUGAUCUCUAACAUACCAUGGACAAGCAGUCCCACUGAGCUGUAACUGAAUGCUGUGUGCAGGGCCAAAGGAAGCUGUGCCAGUCACUGCUUCCAGGAGAAGAAAAUCUUCUGAAAGAUGUAUUCAAAUUAAUGGUUUUAAUAAAGUUAUUUUUUUAAAGUAUACUUUUAGAAAC